CCUACGGGCGGCAGCAGUGGGGAAUAUUGGGCAAUGGGCGAAAGCCUGACCCAGCAACGCCGCGUGAAGGAAGAAGGCUUUCGGGUUGUAAACUUCUUUUGACAAGGAAGAGCAGAAGACGGUACCUGUCGAAUAAGCCACGGCUAACUACGUGCCAGCAGCCGCGGUAAUACGUAGGUGGCAAUCGUUGUCCGGAUUUACUGGGGGUAAAGGGCGUGUAGCCGGGCUGACAAGUCAGAUGUGAAAUCCGGGGGCUCAACCCCCGAACUGCAUUUGAAACUGUUGGUCUUGAGUAUCGGAGAGGCAGGCGGAAUUCCUAGUGUAGCGGUGAAAUGCGUAGAUAUUAGGAGGAACACCAGUGGCGAAGGCGGCCUGCUGGACGACAACUGACGGUGAGGCGCGAAAGCGUGGGGAGCAAACAGGAUUAGAUACCCCGGUAGUC
rnacentral:rRNA from 1 species